UGGGGAAUCUUGCGCAAUGCGCGAAAGCGUGACGCAGCAACGCCGCGUGGGGGAAGACGGCCUUCGGGUUGUAAACCCCUUUCAGGAGGGACGAAGGUUCACCGGUGAAUAGCCGUGUGGAUUGACGGUACCUCCACAAGAAGCUCCGGCUAACUACGUGCCAGCAGCCGCGGUAAUACGUAGGGAGCAAGCGUUGUCCGGAAUCAUUGGGCGUAAAGCGCGCGUAGGUGGCUUCGUAAGUCCGUUGUGAAAGUCAAAGGCUCAACCUUUGAAUGCCGAUGGAUACUGCGGAGCUAGAGUACGGAAGAGGCGAGUGGAAUUCCUGGUGUAGCGGUGGAAUGCGCAGAUAUCAGGAGGAACACCAAUAGCGAAGGCAGCUCGCUGGGACGUUACUGACACUAAGGCGCGAAAGCGUGGGGAGCGAAC
rnacentral:rRNA from 1 species